UUUAUUAUCACUCUAUAACCCUUCACAUCUCUUAACCACAAUCUAUAGCCUUUAACCCCUUCUCCAUAUCCUAAGAACACACCCUUCAUUGAUCUAGGGUCCAGUUUUGACUUAAUAUGAUGUGCAUAAGCUGCACAUCCAAAAGUCCUUAGGUGAAAAUAAUCUGGCAUUGAACCAGACCAGAUUUGUUCGGGAAUUUUGUUAUUCAGAGAGCUGGAAGGACAUCUAUUAAUAAGAUAACAGGCUGUCUUUACAGCCUCACCCCAGAAUACUUUUGGGAGUCCAGAACUGAUUAACAUACAUCUGGUCCUCUCAAGAAUUGUCCUAUUAAGCCUCUCGGCAACCCCAUUUUGUUGUGGGGGUAUAGCUCACAGUUUUAUGUCUCAUUAUCCCUUGUUUACUGCAAUAUUGAUCAAAUUCGAUAUUGCAAAAUUCAAAUCCAUUGUCAGUUCUCAAAAUUUUUAUCUUCUUACCAGUCUGAUUUUCAAUCAAUGAAUUCCAUUCUUUGAAAAUUUUAAAAGUAUCAGACUUAGACUUUAAUAAGAAAAUCCAUAUUUUUCUUGAAUAGUCAUCGGUGAUAAGAAGAUAAUAUUUGUUUCCAGAUACUGUUGGCACUGGGGCAGGUCCCCAUAAGUCAGAAUGUAUGUACUCAAGAACAUCUUGAGACUUAUGCAGCCCUACCUUAAAUGGCAGCCUAACUUGUUUUCCCAUUAUACAAUGUUCACAAAAUGUUAAUUUUUGAACACUGUCUUUUCCAAAAGCCCCUUGACAUGAUAGAGUUUUUAAGCCUUUUUCACUUAGAUGACCAAGUCUCUUGUGUCAUAAUUCUGAUUUAUCUGUAUGUGUGACAAGAUUCACACCAUUAUUUGGUGAAAUUAUUUCAACACUUAUUGUAUAAAUUCCAUUCAGCUUUAAUGAACUGACAAUAAGUUCUUGAUUUCUAAUAAUAUUGGUAGAGCCAUUCUUUAUUUCUAUUUGAUAAUUUUCAUCAUCAAGAAUACCUAGGGAUAUAAGGUUUCUUUUUAGGGCUGGAACAUAUCUUGUAUGUUUUAGCAACAUGUGAUGACCAUUUUGAAGUUUUAGCAACACAUUUCCAAUAGCCUUAACUCUACAUGUCUCAUUAUUUCCAAGUUUUACUGACCCUUCAUCAAGUUCAGAGUAGUUAGUCAGGUAGCCUAUAUUAGGUGUCAUAAGAAAAGAACAUCCAGAGUCCAAGACCCAGUCCUGAUCAUAAUUUUCUGUUAUUGACACAUAGGCUACUCCAAUAUUGGCUCUUGCCUCUCUAUAGUUGGAAGCAUUCAAUGGGGCAUUUUCAGUAUUGGGAUUUUUCUUUUGGUCAUGGGCCUUCUUGAAACAAUUCUUAAUGAAGUGCCUAGUUUUUCCACAAUAAAAGCACUUCUUAUUAUUUGUCUUUCCUUUAAGUGACUUCUUGUCUUUUCCUUUGGUGUUAUUCCAUUUCUUUUUGACAAAGUUUUUAUCCUUGUUGUAAUUUGAAUAACUACAGUUGCUUGCACCUUUAGCAAGUGUUCUUUGCUUAGGUGACACACCCUCCAUAUUAGAUACAUCUCUGUGUUCAGAUUUAAAUUCCAGUUCUCUGUUCAAGAGAGAACUGUGAAUUAUUUCAACAGUAAGGUCACUCCUANAGGCUCCAGAUGUUGUUCAUCUUCAAUUAUUUCAACAUCAGAAUCAUUUUGGGGUACUAUCUGAUGUGGCUCCACCUCGAACUGAGCCUGGUCAUCAGAAUUGUGGUUAUCGGAAUUAAUUUCUGUGAUAAUAAAAUCAUCCUUUCCUAACUUCUCACCAGAUUUGUCACUAAGACAAGAAAAUUAUCUUCAUUAAAGAUAACAGAUCUGUUUAUUAUCACUCUAUAACCCUUCACAUCUCUUAACCACAAUCUAUAGCCUUUAACCCCUUCUCCAUAUCCUAAGAACACACCCUUCAUUGAUCUAGGGUCCAGUUUUGACUUAAUAUGAUGUGCAUAAGCUGCACAUCCAAAAGUCCUUAGGUGAAAAUAAUCUGGCAUUGAACCAGACCAGAUUUGUUCGGGAAUUUUGUUAUUCAGAGAGCUGGAAGGACAUCUAUUAAUAAGAUAACAGGCUGUCUUUACAGCCUCACCCCAGAAUACUUUUGGGAGUCCAGAACUGAUUAACAUACAUCUGGUCCUUUCAAGAAUUGUCCUAUUAAGCCUCUCGGCAACCCCAUUUUGUUGUGGGGGUAUAGCUCACAAUUUUAUGUCUCAUUAUCCCUUGUUUACUGCAAUAUUGAUCAAAUUCGAUAUUGCAAAAUUCAAAUCCAUUGUCAGUUCUCAAAAUUUUUAUAUUCUUACCAGUCUGAUUUUCAAUCAAUGAAUUCCAUUCUUUGAAAAUUUUAAAAGUAUCAGACUUAGACUUUAAUAAGAAAAUCCAUAUUUUUCUUGAAUAGUCAUCGGUGAUAAGAAGAUAAUAUUUGUUUCCAGAUACUGUUGGCACUGGGGCAGGUCCCCAUAAGUCAGAAUGUAUGUACUCAAGAACAUCUUGAGACUUAUGCAGCCCUACCUUAAAUGGCAGCCUAACUUGUUUUCCCAUUAUACAAUGUUCACAAAAUGUUAAUUUUUGAACACAGUCUUUUCCAAAAACCCCUUGACAUGAUAGAGUUUUUAAGCCUUUUUCACUUAGAUGACCAAGUCUCUUGUGCCAUAAUUUUGAUUUAUCUGUAUGUGUGACAAGAUUCACACCAUUAUUUGGUGAAAUUAUUUCAACACUUAUUGUAUAAAUUCCAUUCAGCUUUAAUGAACUAACAAUAAGUUCUUGAUUUCUAAUAAUAUUGGUAGAGCCAUUCUUUAUUUCUAUUUGAUAAUUUUCAUCAUCAAGAAUACCUAGGGAUAUAAGGUUUCUUUUUAGGGUUGGAACAUAUCUUGUAUGUUUUAGCAACAUGUGAUGACCAUUUUGAAGUUUUAGCAACACAUUUCCAAUAGCCUUAACUCUACAUGUCUCAUUAUUUCCAAGUUUUACUGACCCUUCAUCAAGUUCAGAGUAGUUAGUCAGGUAGCCUAUAUUAGGUGUCAUAAGAAAAGAACAUCCAGAGUCCAAGACCCAGUCCUGAUCAUAAUUUUCUGUUAUUGACACAUAGGCUACUCCAAUAUUGGCUCUUGCCUCUCUAUAGUUGGAAGCAUUCAAUGGGGCAUUUUCAGUAUUGGGAUUUUUCUUUUGGUCAUGGGCCUUCUUGAAACAAUUCUUAAUGAAGUGCCUAGUUUUUCCACAAUAAAAGCACUUCUUAUUAUUUGUCUUUCCUUUAAGUGACUUCUUGUCUUUUCCUUUGGUGUUAUUCCAUUUCUUUUUGACAAAGUUUUUAUCCUUGUUGUAAUUUGAAUAACUAUAGUUGCUUGCACCUUUAGCAAGUGUUCUUUGCUUAGGUGACACACCCUCCAUAUUAGAUACAUCUCUGUGUUCAGAUUUAAAUUCCAGUUCUAUGUUCAAGAGAGAACUGUGAAUUAUUUCAACAGUAAGGUCACUCCUACCAUACUCCAGAGCAUUUCUUAUAUCUUUGUACUUAUCUCCAAAGGCAUUAAGUAGACCAACUACCUUUUGCUCAUCUGAUAUUUUCUCAUCACAGUUUAUCAAGUCUUGAGUUAUCCUUUUAAAUUUAUCCAUAUUAUCUUCUAUAUCAAGAUUAGGAUCAAACUUAAAAAUGAAAAAUUGCCUCCAAAGAAAACAUUUAUUUGGUAAGAUUUUAGUGAGGUACUGUUUCUCUAAUGCUGUCCACAAUUCUACAGCAGUUUUGGUCUCACCUACUUUCCUAAUCACAGUAUCAGUUAAGUGUAGAAACAUAGUGCUUCAGGCCAGUUCAUCUUGUUCAGUUUUUCUAUUCUCAGACAAGCCUUUUGGCCAGGAUUCAUCAAUUGCCUUAGCACAUUUUAACUGUAACAUAAGAGCCUUAAUUUUUUGACGUGAGAGACUAAAGUCUCCUUUGCCAUCCCACAUUUGGACAUCUACCUUAGAAGUCAUGAUGUGCAGUAGUGUGAGCAAUGUGUAUGUACAGAAAUGUACGAACAAGCAGUAUGUCGCAGUAAUGUAAUAGAGGUCAAUUAUUUGAGAGAUUACAGUAUUUAUAUGCAAGGAUAGUAUUCAUAAAAAAUUGUCAAGCACACAAUGGAGUACAAAACAGAUUACUCUUAGACUCAGUAAUCUACCAGAAAAAUUAAUGUGGUACAUACACCUCCAAGGAAGACUGUCUCUGACAAUCAGUAUCAGCCCUUUCCCUGUACAAUCACAUUUGAGUAUUAGUUAAUCAAAUAUAUAUAUAUAUAUAUAUAUAAUUCAUAAGUAUCUCUUCACAGUAACCGGAUACAGAGAAGAAAAAUUAUAAGAUUUCUUGAAUCGAAAAACCCUAGUCCCCUCAGAUUCUAGGGUUCUCUCAAUGACCCCUAGACAAAGGUGGAUUUAGGGAAGAUUCAAAAUAGAAACCCUAAUCUCCUUUAAGAAAAACGUUCGGUUACAAAUUUUUUUUUUUUUUUUAAAUGUGGAAGUCGAAAUUGAUACUCAGAACCACCAAAGGGAAUCGAACAAUGUUAUAAGAACCCCUUUAAAAUGUUUUAAAGAAUCAAAGACAGGAAACUGUAGAUCGUCAAAAAUCUGAGUGUUCGAACUCGAGCCCAAAAAAUGCAUAAACUCAAAACGCAGCACAAAUCAGAUUUUCCUAAAACGCUCUCAUACCACUGUUGUGUUUAGAAAAAUUCAUUCGUGCAUAAUCACAUUUCAAAUCGAACACACAGAAAGCAAAAAUAAGAUGAGAGAACACGAGAUUUUUCGGCCCAAAGGCCUCGAGGUUCCGCGACCAAAUCUAACGCCUACAUCCCCGUUGAGCAUCCAUCAGGAAUAAGCUCAAAUCCACUAUGAACAGCCAAAAAUAGGCAAAACAGUCUCAAGAACACAGUUACAAAACUUCUCAAAAACAAAAGAUCCUCUCACAACAAUAUUGAACUCCCACAAGAGUUCAUCUAAAUUCCUAAUUCUCUCUACCAAAAUCACACAAGAUCUAAAGAGAGAACGAAUCAAAAGAGGAGACGAAAGAGACUCUAAAAACUCGAAGCUGCUGGGUUAAAAACUCUAACCCUAAUCACCCCCUUUCUUUCCUUUUAUAUGAGAGUAACAAUUUAUUGUCAUCCAACGGUCCACUUCUUGCCACUUGUCUUGAAUCCGGAAGAGUUGUUAUUUCAUAACAAAAAACGCAUUUCUGUUUUGCACUUGUAACAAACUGGCUCUAGUUCCAGAAGUUUCUUCACAAUGGAUCAUCAAUUGCCCACCAAGUUUGGGCGGCCACACUUCACAGUCCAUUUAAAUCAGCUGGGCCAUACACAAAAUCCAGCAAAUCAAUUCUUACAAUAUUUAG
rnacentral:lncRNA from 1 species